AGAGUUUGAUCCUGGCUCAGGAUGAACGCUAGCGACAGGCCUAACACAUGCAAGUCGAGGGGCAACGGGGGAGAGAGCUUGCUCUCUCCUGCCGGCGACCGGCGCACGGGUGAGUAACGCGUAUGCGACCUGCCCUGCACAGUGGGAUAACCCGGAGAAAUCCGGACUAAUACCGCAUGCCCCCGCGGGGCUGCAUGGCUCCGCGGGGAAAGGAGGCGACUCCGGUGCAGGAUGGGCAUGCGUGACAUUAGCUAGUCGGCGGGGUAACGGCCCACCGAGGCGACGAUGUCUAGGGGUUCUGAGAGGAAGGUCCCCCACACUGGUACUGAGACACGGACCAGACUCCUACGGGAGGCAGCAGUGAGGAAUAUUGGUCAAUGGGCGGGAGCCUGAACCAGCCAAGUCGCGUGAGGGAAGACGGUCCUAUGGAUUGUAAACCUCUUUUGUCAGGGAGCAAGUGCCCCACGCGUGGGGAGCUGAGAGUACCUGAAGAAAAAGCAUCGGCUAACUCCGUGCCAGCAGCCGCGGUAAUACGGAGGAUGCGAGCGUUAUCCGGAUUUAUUGGGUUUAAAGGGUGCGUAGGCGGAACUCCAAGUCAGCGGUAAAAAUUCGGGGCUCAACCCCGUCGUGCCGUUGAAACUGGAGUCCUUGAGUGGGCGAGAAGUAUGCGGAAUGCGUGGUGUAGCGGUGAAAUGCAUAGAUAUCACGCAGAACCCCGAUUGCGAAGGCAGCAUACCGGCGCCCUACUGACGCUGAAGCACGAAAGCGUGGGUAUCGAACAGGAUUAGAUACCCUGGUAGUCCACGCAGUAAACGAUGAAUACUAACUGUUUGCGAUACAAUGUAAGCGGUACAGCGAAAGCGUUAAGUAUUCCACCUGGGGAGUACGCCGGCAACGGUGAAACUCAAAGGAAUUGACGGGGGCCCGCACAAGCGGAGGAACAUGUGGUUUAA
rnacentral:rRNA from 1 species